GAAGAUAUAGCUCAGUGGUUGAAUGGGUGCUUAGCAUGCAUGAGGUCAUGGGUUCGACCCCCAGUACCUUUG
rnacentral:tRNA from 1 species